rnacentral:rRNA from 1 species
AGCGAACGCUGGCGGUGUGCUUAACACAUGCAAGUCGAACGAAGGCUUCGGCCUUAGUGGCGGACGGGUGAGUAACGCGUGGGAAUCUACCUUACGGCGGGGAAUAACUUCGGGAAACUGAAGCUAAUACCGCAUACGCUCUACGGAGGAAAGGCUUCGGCCACCGUUUGAGGAUCCCGCGUCCGAUUAGCUAGUUGGUAGGGUAACGGCCUACCAAGGCGACGAUCGGUAGCUGGUCUGAGAGGAUGAUCAGCCACACUGGGACUGAGACACGGCCCAGACUCCCACGGGAGGCAGCAGUGGGGAAUAUUGGACAAUGGGGGAAACCCUGAUCCAGCGACGCCGCGUGAAUGAUGAAGGCCUUAGGGUUGUAAAGUUCUUUCGUCCGUGACGAUGAUGACAGUAGCGGAAGAAGAAGCUCCGGCUAACUUCGUGCCAGCCGCCGCGGUAAAAC